rnacentral:lncRNA from 1 species
UCAAUAUCUAUGACUGGGUUGCGAUGCUGAGACUCGGCUCAUAUGCUGAGGUGCUAGAACAUACCCAACUAGCCGAAGACUUUAUAUCGACCAAGUAUCAACGCAUUGUCCGAGUCCCUACUCAACAAAAACACCAACCCUAACAACCCAGAAGAAGACUGCUCGACCCAGUAAGUAGCCAUCCCAAUAAAAGACCUCGAGUUGUCCCUCCCCCUACUUCACCUCCACCUACUGGACAACCUGCUUGACCUUCCCAACCAUGCCAGCAUUGUAGUCGCUCACAUGGUGAUCUACCCUAUCGUGUAUUAAUCACACCUGCUAUCGGUGCGGAAGCACCCAGUUAUAAAGGACUGCCCUUAACGACUGAAGGACAUGGCC